UACGAAGGGGGCGAGCGUUAUUCGGAUUUACUGGGCGUAAAGCGUGCGCAGGCGGUUCGUUGUGUCGGCGGUGAAAGCCCCGGGCUCAACCUGGGAAUGGCCGUUGAAACUGGCGAACUGGAGUGUGGCAGAGGGGGGUAGAAUUCCGCGUGUAGCAGUGAAAUGCGUAGAGAUGCGGAGGAACACCGAUGGCGAAGGCAGCCCCCUGGGCUGACACUGACGCUCAGGCACGAAAGCGUGGGGAGCAAACAGG
rnacentral:rRNA from 1 species